rnacentral:rRNA from 1 species
UACGGAGGGUGCAAGCGUUAUCCGGAUUCACUGGGUUUAAAGGGUGCGUAGGUGGGCAGGUAAGUCAGUGGUGAAAUCUCCGGGCUCAACCUGGAAACUGCCAUUGAUACUAUUAGUCUUGAAUUUUGUUGAGGUAGGCGGAAUAAGUCAUGUAGCGGUGAAAUGCAUAGAUAUGACUUAGAACACCAAUUGCGAAGGCAGCUUGCUAAACAAAUAUUGACGCUGAGGCACGAAAGCGUGGGGAUCAAACAGG